UGGUUAAUAUCAGGAAUUAUUGCCUCAAACGCUGCAGGUUCAACCUGGAUCAGAAGCCAAGACCAAUGCCGCACUUGGAAGGGACGACCAAUAGUUCUGUGUUCCUGACCUGUCUUACAGUCUUUCGCUUCUAUCCGCAGUGGACCAUUUGGCUGAUCACGUCACUCUACAGCUGUUCUGCCACAUUUGAGCACCCACAUUAAAGACAAAAGUUGGGGAGAUAAUGAAGAGGCAAGACAGCAAUAUGGGAUUGGCUGGAAAGAUGACAGACUGCAUAUGCACAUCAAAUAAAUUCCAAACGCAGCCAUCUAUUCCCAAGAUUGGUUGGCCUACAGUAUCUAAGCGGUCUGUAACAUAUUUGUAACCCUAAUGACCUGCUGCUGAAGGAUAAUCAAACCACAGUGACUAGGAAAUCAUUUCAUCAUUCCAUAAAGAUCUGCUGAGCCCCUCUAAGUGCUGAGGACUAUGGAAAGAGGCCACAGUCAGGGCAGAUAGUCUUUGCCCUUAAUUGCUCAAGAAUGAAGUGGAUGCAAUCCUGGAACUCACAGUUGGGCAGGGGCAGUUUUCAGAUAUGACAGGCCUGCUUUCCUGAGAUAUGACUCAGCCCAGAAUAAAUAUUUGUGCUUCAUCGAAGGG
rnacentral:lncRNA from 1 species